UGCUGGUUAAUGACGCCUCAUCAAUCAGUCGUGUAUGAGAACUUUUAGCUGUGUAAUAGGAUGUUCAUAGGAUGUGUCUUGCGAUAUUUGUACUCAACAUUGCAAGCGAAUAAAACUAUAAACCAUUGGAGCAGAUGGGACGCACUAACUCAUAACACCUCUUCACGUCCCAUUGGAAUUCGUAAAAGAGAUUUCUUUCUUUUUUUUCUCAGCUUUCAUAUUUGUCAAAUGUGAAAAAGAAAACAACGAUGAAUAAUAUAAGGAGAGACAGAAAGAGAAAGAGAGAGAGAGAUGGGGGGAGGGAUGGAUGGAGAAAGAGAAAUAGAGAGAGAGAGAGAGAGAGAGAGAUGACAUGUUGUCACUUGAUCUGCAGAAAAUAGUAGUAAAAUUCCUCUUUCUUUCUCUCUCUCUUUCAUCAUAGUCUAAUAGUUUUCGAUGACAUUCCCAACUUACUAUUCUGUUCAAGAUGAUAGAAUGUGAUUUCAGAGCGCUUUCAAUGUUCGCUCAGAUACUUUACGUCUAAGAAAAAGUGACAAUGAACAUGGAUGAAGCACAUUAGAUCAUAGGGGAGCUGGAUCCCCGCUAAUACAUGUUAAAGAAAUCAUCUUAUUAAGUAAAUCCAUAUCUACUCACAUUUAUAAUGAAAAAAUCGGCUAUAAACUGGACAUAUUAUUGUCUCUGUACAAAAGUGCACCUUAGGAGAUCUUUCUCACAAAGUUUAUUUUAUUUGCUCAAUAAAGCGUUAUGUUAUUAAUACAACAAAGUCUAAAAUUAAUACAACACUUAAUGCAACACCAGGUUUAACACCACAACGUGGUCCAUUGCUGCCUUUCAAAUGUUUGACGCUUUUAGAAGCAUUUCGUCCGGUUCUCAUGUUUUAGCAUAAGUUCCUUGCUUUUUCCAAAUAGUCAAAAAACCUCUCCAAAAGGCGUGAUAGGAACUGCCAUUCCUCAUCUGAUUAAGCGUUAAUGAAUGAAAAGUAAACAUUUCACUACUGCUGAGGCGGCGAGCUGGCAAAAUCAUUAGAACGCCGGAAAAAAUGCUUAGUAAUAUUUUCCCGUCUUUACGAUCUGAGUUCAAAUACUGCCGAGGUCGAUUUUGUCUUUCACCAUAUCGAUGUCGAUAAAAUAGGUGCUAGUGGUGUUCUAGGGUCGAUGUAAUCGAUUAACCCCGCCACCGCAAAACUGCUGGCUUUGUGCCAAAAUAUGAAACUAUUAUUACUAGAAUUGCAUAGACAGCAUCCUGGCAGAAUCGUUAACACGCCGGACAUAAUGUUUACCAGCAUUUCGUCCGGGUUUACGUUCUGAAUUCAAAUUCCUUUGAGUUCGACUUUGCCUCAUCAUUUCGGAGUCGGAAAAAUGAGAGCCAGCUGAGCAAUGGAAACGAUGCAAUCGAUUGUCCCUCAUCCAAAAUUUCAGGCCAUGUGUCGAUAGUAUAGUAGAAAGGCAGCGAGCAGGCAGAAUCGAUAGCUCGCCAGACAAAACGUUUAGCGGCAUUUCGUCCGUCUUUACGGUUUGAGUUCAUGUAAUGCAGAUAUGGUAAACGUUGCUGUUCAACCUUUCGGGAUCGAUAAAAUGAGCACCUGUGAAGCAUUAGGGUCUUUGUAAUCGACUAAUACCCCACGCCCCUAAAAUUUCAGGUCAUUAGUAGAAAUAAUUGUCAAUAUUUUUCUAAGGCAGCGAGCUCUCAGAAUCGUUAACACACGGUACAAAAUAGCAUUAGAUGAUUCACACACAGAAAAGAAAAGAAAAAGAAUUUAAAUAUAUUUGAAAAUUAAUGAAGUUAAAUAAUACAUCUAUCGUCUCUCGUUUAUAUAUAUAUAUAUAUAUAUAUAUAUAUAUAUAUAUAUAUAUAUAUUUAUAUAUAUAUAUAUCGGUCACUUUUGCAGAACUGAUAAGUUUUGGGGACGUAAUCACACCAACACCGAUUGACAAGCGGCGGUGGUGGGAGGCAAAUGUAGACACAAAGACAUACGUGUAUAUAUAUUUCAAUAUAUUUCAAAGAUAUACGUGUAUAUAUAUUUCAAUCGGUGCGGGUGUGUUUACAUGCCCAUAAACUUUCAGUUCUGCAAAAGAGACCGGUAGAUUUUUUUUUUAAAUGUACUAAGGUUGAUUCAUUUGAUUUAAAAUUCCUGAAGGCGGUGCCCCAGUAUGGCCGUAGUCUAAUGUUGAAACAAGUAAAAGAUAGAGUAUAUGUUAUGUUCCGUAUUCAAACAAUUCUACCUUGUUAAAAUUAAGGUAAAAACAAAUUUUACCUCUAUGUCUGCAUAAAAUGUGAUUUUUUGUUUCGUUUACACAAAACAAAACCAUUCCUUAAAUGUAUCCAUAUAUUUAUCAAUUUCUCUUUGCAGGUGAGUUGGAAAAUUAUUCUUCAAUUCGGUAAGAAAUUAUUUUCUUUUAAUAUUCAUAAAAUGUUUAAAACUUACACUAAAUCAUCCGGAGUGGUAUCUGUUCACCAUGAAACUCGUUGAAUUUAGCGCAGCUGAAAUUUGAACAGUUUCACUUGCCCUUCAGGUUACUCCAUAGCAGAAAGACAGAACAAGAUUUGUUAAUGUUCGUGAGAAGAGAAAAAAUUGAGUUGGGCCGGGAUAUUUUCCUGUUUUGGUUUUUCUUUUUUUUUUUACUGUAAAUAUUUCCGUCCCCUUUAUUAUGAUUUUAGAAUCAUUCCGUGUCACGUAGUAACUGUAGAAAUCACUUCCAUCAUGACUAUUCACAUUUAACGCUGCAAUGUAAUCUUCAUUUCUUACAGUCUACUGUCUCUAACAUCCAUAUUUACCUUUUGGCAGAAGAAAUCUGUUUUACACUACCUUUCCAUUAACCUUUAACUUAUAAUGGACAGAAGGUAAUCGUUCAGAAAACGUAAAUAAACCGAAGGCAACUGCAUGUAAUUUCAUUACGCCACUACAUAAAUAUAAAAAAAAUUCAACCUGCGGAUAUUCUAGUUCAUAAGUAACAGACUAAUACAAAACCUUAUUGACCGUAUUUCAAUGAAAAUGUAUUUGCCAGGAAAAAAUACACUUGAAUACAUGAUAUCGCCAAUAUAAUGUAGCGUUUGCUUAGAAGAAUCUCCUCUAAAAUAUCCACCAAGAUAUGUUUGUUGACAUACAAAUCUUGCUGUUUGUUAUUUGUAUCAAUAGGAGAAACAUAUUAGGUGUUCAGUGCUUAUAUAUAUAAUAGGUUAACACACAUUCCUAAUAGAUAGAAAAUAUUUGAAAAACUUCUGUAAACGCUUUCGGUAAUCAUUGGUUUUCACUAUCAAGUAUAGGUUUAUUUGAUCUGUUUUUCUUUUUCUAGAUAAUAUUUAAGCUUUAAACAAAAUAGGGCAUAUGGCGCAGUGGUUAAGAUCGCGGGCUACUAAUCCCGAGUUCGAUUCCAGACAGUGGAAUCGAACUCGGAUCUUUGGAUCUUUUCGGUUUGAACGGCAGUUUUUUCUAGCGGUGUCAUAUGAAAUUGUCACCCAUAAUUAUGACCCUAGUAUCGAUCUAUUGCAUUUCAAUGUUUUAGGGUUAGGGGUGGGAGGAAAGGUAUUUCUUUUUCUUCACAAAUGUAAAUAAACCCAAUCUGUUUCUUAAACGAGGGACAUAUUCAUACGGCACAGAAUGUUUUUUACCUCAAUAGACGUCAGUGAUUGGUUGAAAUUGCAGAAAUUGAAGAAAAACAACAAAUAUCUUACAAACUAUAUAAUUUUCUCAAUAAAGCCAAGAGAAAACGAUGUUUUAUAAACAAAUUCUACCAGUAUACGAAGUUUAAAAUUUUUUAGUUACCUAAAAAUUAUCUUAAAAACUGCCGUUCAAACCGAAAAGAUCCCAAAUAUUGUUUUAAUCUAGUAAUAUUAUUUAUGAGGAAAGAGGCUGGGUUUUCUUUUGCAAAUGUCGUUGAUUAGGUUCAUAAAUACUGUGAAAGGUCGGCACGAUUCUAUAUAAAUAUGAGAAACGUUAUCCUCUGGAUUUUGUAAAAGGCUUAUGCCAGAUAUCUGUUGAAUCCGAUGUUAUCAAGGAAGUCGAUAAUAGUUGAAUUGAUGGUUAAAAUUAUUGAAGAGCAUAGAAUGGUAAAUGUAUAACUGAUGACUAUCCGUAAUUAGUCUAACGUGUAACAAUCUGCCAUUGUUAAUCCUAUAUUUCGGUAAAACCAAAUCUUUACCGGUAAAUUUCUUGUAAAUCCAAUAUGGUAUUUAUACUCUUACAGGAUCGUACACAAAAUGACAGUGGCACCAGACAUUUUAACUGAAGGCUCGUAUUUUGCAAUUGGAAUGAUUUAUCAAACAUGCAUUAUUACCUUUUUUUAUCGUUAAUAACUAUCGCAUUAUCCUACUUCGUUUAGUAGUUUAGUUAUUUGUAGUUUCUCUCGCAGAACGAAUAACUAUUAGCGUUCUGCGUAUUAUGUAUAUUGAACUUGAAAGGCAGAAGAUUGGAUGCUAGCAUAACAUGAAAACAUUUACUCUCUUAUGCACGGAAUACACACAUUAUAUACAUUGACGAAAUUGUAUACGUGAAGUUUCAUACAAUAUAUACUUUCAAUGAACAGCAUACAUGAAAUUCAUGCAUUAUAUAUAUUCCUUGAAUUCCGUAAACGAAAUUCGUACAUCAUAUAUAUUCAUGAAAUUCCUAAAUUAAUUAUUGUUCUUUUACUGUCUUGGAAAUCUUAUAAUUCCUUGUAUAGAAAAAUUCUUUAUAUUUUCAAUCUGAAUAGGUAGUAGCUAGCUUAUGUAGAGGGACUGCACCUUGGGGAUAUUGUGUGUGUAUACGUAUAACGGGUCCGAUUGGCGGAGUCGUUAGAGCUUCGGAUACAUAACCUGCUUACAUGCUCUAAAUUCAAAUCGUGCCUAGAUCGACUUUUCCUUCCAUCCGGUCAAGAUUGACAAAAAUGUUGUUUACUAUUAUCACUAUCUUCCAUUCUUUCUCUCUGUUAAUACAGAUUUGCGCGAGUGUUUAUACAUAUAUAUACAUACAUACAUACACACACACAGAUAUAUAUAUAUAUAUAUAUAUAUAUAUAUAUAUAUAUAUAUAUAUUUAUAUUUAUAUAUAUAUUGAGGAUGUAAUUUUCUCGUUUGGUCAUACUGUGAUGGUUCUUUUACAUAUAACAUGGUUCGAAUCGUGAUGACCUGGAGCAAUGUUCACCAAGUGGCCGGAUUGAAACGUGUGUAGGCAUCGGUAAUGUCUAUUUCUUAUGUUAAUUGUGUUCCUUUAAAUCUUAUACGUAUUACAUUAUUUGAUAUAUUUUCAUAGUGAUACAAAUUAAAUUAAAUAAGUAUCUACUGUAUUUCUUCUCCAUUUUCUUAUAUUAACUUAACACUAUAUGUGUGUAUGUAUGUAUGUAUGUAUGUAUAUAGGGAUGGUGAUGAAAAAGGAAUAGUCAUAAAAUUUAUAUAUGUAUAUUUCUAUUAAUAUUUAGUUGAAGCAACAGAGUGACAGAAGACUACAAGAACGAAUAUAUUAAUCCAAAAUAACUAAGAGAAAAUCUAUGUACUUCUAAUGUGUUUUUUUUUUUUAGUUUUUAUACCAUCUACCGACGAAUACAAAUAUGGCUCUUACGAUUUUCCAUUUAUGAAUACAUGAGUUUUUUUUGUAUGAAACAACUUCUAGAGCAACAUGAAAAAUUAAAACUGUAAUCCAUUUUAACAUCUAAUCUCCUCCAUUACAUAAAUAUGGAUGAAUUUGAUUGAACUGUGUUUAAUAAGUCAAAUCAUAUAUUGAUUAUUUCUAUACAAGUUUUCAUACCGGUACGAAUUUAUAUAAGCAAAUUCAAAAGUAAAGUAUGAAGAAAAGACAUAGAAAACCUUUUUGAAAUGAUUCCAAUUAAAGGAAGAACUCGCAUUCAUCCGAUAAAAAGUAUAUAUAAAAAUAUAUACAAUGUAUACACACACACACACAUAUAUAUAUAUAUAUAUAUAUAUAUAUAUAUAUAUAUAUAUAUAUAUAUAUAUAUAUAUAUAUAUAUAUAUAUACAUACAUACAUACAUACAUACAUACAGGAUGCGUUGAAUAAACUGUCGUCUAAAUUACGCCAAAAUGAAAUCUCCUUUUAACAGAUAUAUUUAGUAAAAUUACAUGAAAAUAUCUUGAAAUACUAAUGAGUAAAUAUAUUCAACAAAAAUCGCCAUUGGCUUCAACUACGAUCACCAGACGGCUUCAGAAUCUACUGCAAAUCUUCUGGGCGGUCUCCUUGUUUAAUUUCGUGAAUGCUACCAUAAUCCUUACCUUCAGUUCAUCUUUGCUGUUAAAAGGAGUUUCGUUAAAAGGAGAUUCUUGCUUAGCUGCGCCCCACACAUAAUAAUCAAGCGGGGUUACUGUUUAGGGAGUUAGGUGGCCAGAUGUUAGAGAUGAUGUUGUCGCAGAAAUAGUCUGACAGCCAUGACUGGGUUCUCCUGCUAUUGUGGCAUGGUGCAGAUACCUGUCUCCAGGCAUAGGAUCUUCUAGCAGCCACACCUCCCCCAGGCACUUAAUGUAAUCCUCUGUCUUGAGUGUGAGGCCGUGUGAGAAGAAUACUGGAAGGAUAACGUCACCGUCACUAGUGAUCGCUCCAAGCACUAUGAUGUUGACAGGAUGCUUGAUUUUUAUCCCGAGGGAUCGGUUUUAAUCAUAGUCUGGAUCUCACCAACAAAUUCUGGAGUUCUUUUCUUAUCAGACCGAUCAUAGUGAGUUUUCCUAAGUGCCGUAACUUCAUAAUCACCAUUAGACUCUUCAAACUGUUUUCGAAUCUUCUGCACUGUCCUCAGAUUGACACCCAAACACCCUGAAAUGUUCGCAUUGGAGCUUCUGGCGCGAAUGCCAAGCAGUACAGCAAUAUCGUUUCCAAAUGUCCGACACAGUGAAUUGCGCCAUGGUGCUGUUUUUCUCACAGACGGUGUCCAACUGACACUACUGUACUGUGUUGUCGAGAAAAUCAAUAACAUACAAUGCGCAUUCGCGAAAUUACAAAUAUAAAAUGGCGAUACCGUACCCAUCGCACGCUACAUGUAUGUAUGUAUGUUUGUAUGUAUAUAUAUACAUAUAUAUAUAUGUGUGUGUGUGUAUGUGUGUGUGUGUGUGUGUGACCGAGUAUGUAUCGUUGGCGAUUUUUUCUCCCCCGUCUUCCCUUCCAUGGAUAUUUUCUUUUCCUAUGUUUCUGACGAAGAGCUCCGCUCGAUAAGAUAAUUCCGCCAUCUUUCCUUCUUUCCUGAGCGUCCAAUAACACUAUACUUGUUCCACGUCCUCGCGUUGUUGUGUUUUCUCUUUGUGUUUUCAUGUUUGGAUUAACUUUAUAUACAUAUAUAUAUAUAUAUAUAUAUAUAUAUAUAUUAAUUAGAGACAAAACCACUAUUAGGCAAAUCAAACAGUGAAAAUCAUAAACCAAUACGUAGAAAUAAAAUUAAUUAAUAAAAAAUAUAUAAAAUAUAAAAUUCAGAAUUUAAAAUAUAUGUGUGUGUGGUUUUACUCUUUAUCUUAUAUUAAACCUUUAAUACUUUUUGAUAGUUAUAUUUUUUUUAAAUUAAUAAAUAAAUAAAUAAAAUAAUAAUAAUAUAUAUAUAUAUAUAUAUAUAUAUAUAUAUAUAUAUUUAAAAAUUUAUAAGUAUAAAUUAUUUAUUUAAAUAUUUUUUUUAAUUUUAACUUUAAUUUAAAUAUUUUAAAUUUUGAAUUUUAUAUUUUAUGUAUUUUUUAUUAAUUAAUUUUAUUUCUAUGCAUUUGUUUAUGAUUUUCACUGUUUGAUUUGCCUAAUAGUGGUUUUGUCACUAAUUUAAUAUAAUAUAUAUAUAUAUUUAUACUAUAAAAUUAGAUUUAAUCCUAAAUCUAAAUUUUCCCUGUAAGUUUGGAUUUACUCCUAAUAUUAUUAUAUAUAUAUAUAUAUAUAUAUAUAUAUAUAUAUAUAUAUAUAUAUAUAUACAUACAUAUAUUAAUAUAUUAAUGUAUUAAGAUAUAUAUGCAUACACACACACAAACACACAUAUAUAUAUAUAUAUAUAUAUAUAACGUUGAAGUAAAUCUAACAGAUUUUGUGUGUUUCUUAAAUGGCUUAUAAACACCUUCUGCACUACAAUUGUUAUUUAUAUAUACAUAUAUAUAUAUAUAUAUAUAUAUAUAUAUAUAUAUAUAUAUAUAUAUAUAUAUAUAUAUAUAUAUAUAUAUAUAUAUAUAUAUAUAUAUAUAUAUAUAUACAUUCUUGUGGACAUAUAUUUUUGUUAUUGUUAUACAUCAUUCUCGAAACUUAACUGGUGAAUUCCUUUUUCAGCAAGUUACUGCGAGCGAGAUGCAGAUGAUUGCACGAUAUUACUGCACCAUUUUUCUCAAUAGUGAUUGUAGAUUCAUACGAAGAGAACCACAAAAAGCAAUAGAAAAAAAUCUAAUGAAAUAAACGAAAUAUUGUUUUGGAUUUGCUAAUCUACUUGUGAAUUUAAACCAAAACCUUCCUUCAGAGAUCCCGUAUGAGAUAAAAAGAAAACGAGAAAAAUACAGAAUCCGGAAUAUUUAAUACAGAUUUCUAAACAUCAAUGUGUUGAAAGCAGUAUAUUGCCACCUAGAGGCAUAAAACCAAUAAGUGUUUAGAAAAUAAGUAACAUUAAGGAUAUUUAAAGCUACGACAUAUUGUCUCUAUGUAAAUAUGGACCAUUUCAAAAGAGUAAAACCAACCGUAUGGAAAACUUCCUUUUUAGAGAUAUGUAAACACAAUUUCUGUUCAUAUUAAGUAUCCAAUACUCAUACUCUACAGAAGUGUGUAGCAUCUAUGAUUGUUGACAGUCAACAAGAUUAUUUCUCAGUUUCUAAAACUUUGAGGGAUUGAAUUUAGUUAAUUGUACCCGGGAGGGAAUCCUAAAAUACGCAUUUCAGAUUCAGAUACUUCUAUUUAAAGAUGCGUGCGCGCGUUUGUGUGUGUGCGUGCGUGUGUGUAUAUGUGUGUAGGUGUGUGUGUGUGAGAGAGAGAGAGAGAGUGCACGCGUGCUUAUAUGUAUGUGCACAUAACGCAAAACUGAGCUAAGGGAAAUAGUUCAGAGUAACCAUGGACACGUAUAGGAACAUUUACAGACAAAUAAAUGUAAAUCAAAGUACCACACAACACAAAAUAAUUAGUGUAUUGAGGCGGCAAGCUAGUAGAAUUCUUAGCGCAUAGGGAAAAAUGCUAAGUGCAUUUUGGCUGUCUCUAUGUUUUGAGUCCAAAUGCUACCCGGUUGAUUUCACCUCUGAACCCAGUGACCAAUAUCCAUAGGUCACUGGAGCCGAUGUAAUCGACUUUGUCCUUCACCCGAAUUUGCUAUCUUUGUGCGAGAAUUUGAAACCAAUAUUAUCUCCACCGGUAAAGGAUAUGUCAUGAUAAUCAAAUGGCUAUUGAGACCAGAUCAGCUCCAUGUGAGAAACAGAGAUAUUCUCAAGAAUUAAGAAUUCUAUACACUUGACAUUGGUUAGGGAAAAAGACGGGAGUAUUAUCUUGUGAAAAUUGGACACAAUUUCUUCCACAAUAGGAGCCAUCAGCAUGAGAAUUGAUCAACACUGUUUGAUGCAAGCAAGAGACAUAAACGUAUGCAAAGAGAGUGAAACACACACACGUGCACACACUCGCACACACACUCACGCACAUAUUAUUACAAGUAUAUUAUGCAGAUCAUAUAUAUUCACAUAUAGUAUUUAUUUACAUAUACUUAUGUAUAAAUAUAAAUGAAUAUAUAUAUAUGUAUAUGUAUAAGUAUAUCUAUCUAUCUAGUUAUAUAUAUAUAUAUAUAUAUAUAUAUAUAUAUAGCAACAUAUGAAUAAUGUGUAUCAAACCACUACAGCUGUUACCAACUAGUUUGUAAUUGAUUAAUGGAGUAUUACACCAUUAGAAAAAGCCAUUUUCAUCAGGUGAAUACAUGAAUCACAACAUUCGAUAACACACCCAAAAGCCGACAUCCUGUGCCACUUCAUGAUUCUAUGCCCAUUGCCAGUCGUGAGAAUGAACUUGUUUGUUCAGUUUAUUAGGAGAAAAUACCUUGGUGUCAGGCGUUUACGAAGAUUUAUAGCAAUGAGGGAGGUUAGUGCAUCGGGUAGGGGAGAAUCAAAUAACGAUGCAUUUUGCCACUACGGAGCAUAUGGAAGGCUAUUAAAUAAAUAACUAAAUAAGUAGAUACAUAAAUAACUGGUUGACCUUACCCUUUGUACUUAGCACAAAAACCUCUUGUUGAACAGUAAAAUAAGAUAAAAAAUAAAAGAAGCUAUCUAAGGUGUAGGGGCGAAAUGCUUCGCUGUCUGAUUUUCCCCUACCGCAACAUUCGUUUCUUUAAUCUUCGUUACAAGAGGCCUGACAUCAAAGUAUUUUCCCCUCUAAUUCUAUCAAUUUGAACAAAUUCAUUGUUACGACAGCCAAUGGUCAUCAGACGCGGUUUUAGGAAUUCUUUAGAGGGAGGGCAUAAGAUCAGAAGGGAAACAAUUCCAGGAGAAAAUGGCGUAAUAGCAUUAUUUAGAAGGGUGCACUUCUUCUCUUGAGGGUGGUACGUGCCCUUCAGGCCUCCACUUGGGUCCGCCCCUGAUCAUAGAAUGAUGAUGUGACACUAGCUGUUGGCUUUUGAGUGCUUUGAAUGUAAUGAUUCAUAUAUUUACCUGAUGAAAACGUUUUUCUAAUUACGUAAUAUCACCCUAAUGGAUUACAAACUCGUUGGAACGUUAUCUAUCUGUUCUUAUUUAUUAUUGAUCUCACUCGAGACUUAGAUCUUGAGUAGAACCGAAGUACAUUAUGUACCGUACGUUAACUGCAAUGUAUGUUUCCUGUUUAGCCUCAGUCGGGUACAGUUAAACGUCUACAUAAUCUGAAUAUUUUUCUGCCUGUACUUCGGUACUUGCGUAAGCAUUACUCUAUUUUAAUUGUGUACACAUUGGUUUUGACCCGACCUUUACUUUGCUAUUUAAGUGCAUAUAUAUAUAUAUAUAUAUAUACAUACACACACACACACAGACACACAUUGUAUGUAUGUAUGUAUGUAUGUAUGUAUGUAUGUAUGUAUGUAUGUAUGUAUGCCACAUUCAACAAUGUUAAUAAAAUACAUCUCUCGUAAGCUCAUAAGCUUCAUUUAACAUUCUUUGAUGAUAAUACUUAUAUAAAAGCAAAUUUUACGCAAAUAUUACGAUUCGGGUGACACUAAUCAGGACAUUUCUUUUUGUCUUAUAGUUUUUUCACCGGUUUUUUUUUUAUCUGUUCACGCAUCUCUUGAUAAUUCAUGAACGAAAAUAGAGAAUAUCGAAUAUUUUCUUUAUUAAUUUCACAUCAAAUUGAAUAUAAUUCAAACUAAAAUCUUAUCUAUCGCUUCUGCAAAAUUUCCCUCCCAUCCUUCCAUACUCUACUCAUCUCUCCCGAAUGAAGUUCUGACACAGUAUUUAGCAUUCUCAUCUAAACUCAAAUAAACCACAAAGGACUGUAAGUUUUUGACAGUUACUUCUCUAAAAUUUAUUUUUAUUUUUUAGGAUGCAAUUAUAUAUCUAUUUUUAACAAGUGCACAAUUGAUUUUCUAUAUAUAUAUGUUUUUGAUACUUCUCUUUUUUCAAAACACUUAAUAAGUGAUAUAAAUUUCAAAUGCGUAAAUUUUGUAGUGAGACUUAAACAUCGUAUUUAAUUAAAAUUAUUUCAAAAUUUAAAAAUAAAUAUAGACAUAAUCGAUGCUUAUUUGUAAAAUUUUGAAAGCCUCACUUCGAUUUAUUUUUCAAACAAAAACUAAUGCAAUAAUGUUUUACAAAAAAAACUAUAAGUCGACAUUGAAAAUAAUUCGAUGCGUUCUGACUAUCAUCUCAGAUUUCUAAUGCGGCGAGCUAAGAGAAAACUUAGCAUGCCGAGUAAAAUGCUUAGCAACAUGUCGUCCGUCUUUACUUUCUAAGUUCGAAUUCUGUGGAGGUCGACUUUACCUUUCAUUAUUCCUUUCUGUUAAAGAGCGUAGGCUCCAAACGUAAAAGACUUUUCCUUUUCCCGUGCGUCAAACUAAUACAUUUGCGUAUUGUCCAUACACCUCUUUCGUCUUCUGUUUUUCUAUAAAAUUCAAGUAUAUAUAUAUAUAUAUAUAUAUAUAUAUAUUUAUAUAUAAGUACCAGUUGAUCACUGGGGUCGAUGUAAUUAGAUUAAACCUCCACAUCCUCACCGAAUCUAUUGGGUUUGAGCUAAAAUUUGGAACUAUUAUUUCAGAUUUCUGCAUUGUACGUCAGAUAUAACCGUAUGUUGAUAUAUGUAUGUAUAUACGCAUAAACGCGAACGCACACACAUAUAUUCAUACACACAAACACACUCACACACACACGCACAUGUACGAAUAUGUGUGUGUGUGUGUGUGUGUGUGUGUAUUUAUUUAUUUAUUCAUUUGCCAUGCUGAACCGCUGGAUUCUACAAGUAUUUUUUCAUUCUCCCUGUGUUUAUUUCUUCUUAUUCCUUUGUGCUGAAGAGCGCAGGCUCCGAACGUAAAAUACUUUUUCCUUUUCCAGCGCGUCAAACUAAUACACUUGCUUGUUAUUCAUACACUUCUUUCCUCUUCUGUUUUUUCUAUAAAUUUCAAGUAUAUAUAUAUAAUUCUUCGUUACAAAAGGCCUGACAUCAAAGUAUUUUCGCCUAUAAUUCUAUCAAUUUGAACAAAUUCAUUCUUAUGACAGGCAAUGGCCGUCAGGCGGUCCCAAGAGUUCUUUGAAGGGAGGGUACAAGAUCAGAAGGGAAAGCAAUUCCAGGUGAAAAGGGCGUAAUACCAUUAUUUAGAAGGAUGCACAUCUUUAUAUAUAUAUAUAUGUGUGUGUGCGCAUGUGUGUGUGUGCGCGCGCGCGUGUGUGUGUGUGUGUGACCGCGUGUGUAUCGUUGACGAUUUUCUUUUUCAGUCUUCCCUUCCUUGGACUUUUCCUUUUUUCUAUAUUUCUGACGAAGAGCUCCGCUCGAAACGUUACAUCCUCCUUCUUUCUUUCAUUUCCUGAGCGUCCAAUAAAUAACACUAUCCUUGUUCCAUGUCCUCGCGUUGUUGUGUUCUCACUUUGUUCAUGUUUGGAUUAACUAUAUAUAUAUUUUUUUUUCAUUUGUAUGUAUAUACAUAUUCUUGCUUUUAUUCUUUAACUUGCUUGAAUCAUUUCACUGCGCCCAUGUUGCAGCACUGCAUUGAAGGGCGUUACCCCGAGCAAAUCAAUCCCAGGUCUUUUUUGGCAUCCUAAUAUUUAUCUUUAUCUGUGUUUUCUGUCGAACCGCUUGGUGACGGGAAUGUAAACACACCAACAGUGAUGGGGAGUACAAACUCAGACAGAAAGGUACAUACAUACAUACAUACAUACAUACAUACAUACAUACAUACAUACAUACAUACAUAUAUACAAACAUGUAGAGAUAGAUAGAUAGAUAGAUAGAUAGAUAGAUAGAUAGAUAGAUAGAUAGAUAGAUAGAUAGAUAGAUAGAUAGAUAGAUAGAUAGAUAGAUAUAUAGAUUGAUAGAUAGGUAGAUAGAUAGAUAGAUCGCUAGCCACUACACAUUCUUUAUUUUCUCUCCUUGUUUCUUUCUGUGUUGCUUUCUGUGAAAGAGCGUAGGCUCGAAACGUUAAAGACUUUUUCACUUCCCGAGAUUUAUACUAAUACAUCUGUUUGUUGUCUACACCACCUGUCUUCGUAUUUUGCUUUGUUUUUGUUUUGUUUUGUUUUUUGAAUUCUCUCUCUAUAUAAAGUAAACCGAGUAUGAGACUUUCCACAGUCUGGUAUGUGAAAAAAAACUAUUUUAUGUUUGUGCUUUGAUAUCGUCUGAAUCUUUAGAAAGUAAACAUAGAAUUAAAGUAAAGUUUAGACAUAUAAGUUUAUUGAGAAAAAUAUAUAGAAACUGAAGAGAAAAGAUGUGUUCCCAUAUGCAAUCUCAGAUAACAUAACCUUAGCUGUCCGUCCUGAAUGAAAAGAAAAAAGAAAGAAAAGAAAAAUAACUGACAAACCAAACACGCCGAUACAUCUUUCAAGUAUCAGUCCGGAAUUUUGUUUUCGAAAGCGAAUCCGUUUUGAUAGCAGUACCAUUAAGAACGUCUACUUGUAGUAAAUAAGAACAACUUGAUAUAUCUCGAAUUAGUUUGAAAAUCUUCCAAAUAUAAGCGUUCAUUUACGAAUAGAUUCUUGUUUCAUUCAUAUACCUUUUUUUCCCAGAUAAUAAAUCAAAAAUCAAGUACAAAAUCUUAUCGUCUGUGUAACCUUUUCUCUCGUGUGCUGUUUUAAAUUUCCUAAGAUUGUAUAUUAUUUAGUUUUCUUCCUGUAUCUUUUGCUUAUAUUCGUGAAAUGCUCUGUAUGUAUGUUUGCAUAUGUGUAUGUAUGUACAUAUUGUGCAUGGACAUACCUAUCUUUAUACUAAUACUUGUGUAUGUAUACGUGCAUGUUUAUUGUGUGUGCGUCUGUGUGUAUGUGUGAGUGAGUUCAAAUUCAGCCGAGGUUGACUUUCUGUUUCAUCCGUUCUGGGUGGAUAAAAAGUACCAAUUACCCACUAGGGUUUCAGGUGAUCCAUUUCUUCCGGCCUCCAAAAUUGCUGGCAUUGUAAUAAAAUUAAGUGUGUGUGUAUAUAUAUAUAUAUAUAUAUAUAUAUAUAUAUAUAUAUAUAUAUAUAUAUAUAUAUUAAGGAGAUUAACGACUCGAAUAAGAUCUUCGUUAAUUCUGACAAGACAAGGAACUUAUAUGCACUUGAUAAGGACGUUUAUAAACGCCUGAUUUCGAAUAGUGUCACGGACACAUACAAAAAAAGACAACACGAAUAUAUACAAAGAGGUGAACUUAGAAGCAAGAGGAAUAGCUAACGAUCUUAAGAUUAGCGAUAGGAUUGAAUACCUUUCACCACGACCAGCUUUUAUUACUCUGAAAGACCAUAAAGACAAUUUUAGUAGAAACCCCAAAUGUAGAUUGAUAAAUCCGGCUAAAACUGAGAUAGGAAUUAUUAGCAAAAAUAUUUUAGACCGUAUUUUAGUUAAGUUAGAUAGUGAAGUAGACUUGAGAAUUUGGAAGAAUAGUAAGUCAGUUAUAGAGUGGUUUAAAGGUAUUAGCUAUAAGAAUAAUUGUAGUUUCACACAAUUCGACAUUAUUGACUUUUACCCGUCGAUAUCUAGGACGUUGCUCCUAAGGGCAUUGGACUUCGCCAAGCAGUAUGUCAACAUCGAUAGCUCGGAAAUUGAAAUUAUUAUGCAUGCGAGGAAAUCGCUUCUGUUUUUCGAGGAUUCCACCUGGAUUAAGAAGACUGAGGAUUCUCUUUUCGAUGUACCGAUGGGGGCAUACGACGGGGCUGAAUUAUGUAUGCUCAUAGGAGCCUUUAUUCUCCAUAAUCUAAAAAUAGAAUUCCCAUUUAUAGAUGCAGGUCUAUAUAGGGAUGACGGCCUUAUAGCCACGCAUAAUCUAAACGGCCAUGAAUCAGAUAGACUUAGGAAGGACCUUAUAGCUUUCUUUCAAAGGAUGGGCUUACGGAUUACGAUAGAUACUAACCUGAAUAGUGUAGAUUUUUUAGACGUAAAUUUUAAUGUAAGAUCGGAUAGAUUUAAACCUUUCCGUAAGCCCAAUGAAAAGCUAUCGUAUAUUAGCAAAGAUUCGAACCAUCCACCAGUUAUCCUUAGCAACUUAGUCAGCAAUGUAGGUAGAAGAAUAUCUUCAAUUUCUUCGGACGAGGCAGCAUUCCAUAAUGCUGCACCUUAUUACGAUAGCGCAUUAAAGAAUAGUGGAUUCUCGGAGAAGAUCCAGUUCAACCAGCUUAAUGCUAAUAAUAAUGCUGCACGAAGAACUAGGACCAGGAAAGUUUUGUGGUUCAACCCGGCUUUCAAUUUGGCCGUAAAGACUAAUAUAGGUAAGGAAUUUUUGAGAUUAGUCUCUAAGCAUUUUAAGCAGGGUCAUAAAUUCUACAGAAUAUUUAAUAGAAGAACCCUGAAGGUUAGCUAUUCUUGUUGCAGAAAUUUCGCCUCUUACAUUAGCCAACAUAAUAGGAAGCUAAUUGAGAUUAGACAUGGUGCCGAGCCCAUUAAGAAAUGUAAUUUCAAAAACGAAAGCUCCUGUCCGUUAGAAGGGAAAUGUCUAGUGAAAGGAGUAGUUUAUAGAGCCAAGGUGCAAGUGGAAGGCUCAUCGGAAUACAAGACAUACACAGGGGCUUCAGAAAAUACAUUUAAAACAAGAUUUUAUUCUCAUAAGAAUUAUUUUAAAUACCCAGAGAAUAGGAAGAAAACCAGCCUAGCUAAAUAUGUCUGGGAACUAAAAGAAAAGGAAGCCCCACCUUUCAACGUGACAUGGAGCAUUCUGGACAGGGCGGCACCAUACAGGCAUGGAGCUUACAAAUAUAAUUUCAAGUGCAAGCUUUGCUUAUUAGAGAAAAUGCACAUAUUAUUCAAAGACAAUAAUUCUUUGAAUCAAAGAAGUGAGUUAAUGAACUUAUGUAGGCACGCGACGAAAUUUAAAAUGUCGAAUAUAAAUAUACCAUAUGGAUAGAGUAUAUAUUUUGUAUUUUGAUUUUUUGAUUUUGAUUUUGACUCUUGAGCGCUACGACGGACCUAUAGCAAAGUCUUAUUGUUUCUACAUAUAUAUUAGGAAAAACCUACAAACUUUGUUUUCAUGUUAUUGUAUUGCAUAAGAUUACCUUGAUUAUUUAUAUUACCUUGAUUAUUUAUAAAUGACCCAAAAUAGGAUGUUAUAUUUUAUUUUAUAUGUCUUUCGUAUAUAUUUUUUAUUAAUGCACCCAUUUUUUAAAAAGCAAUGUUUUUUUAAAAAAGCAAUGUUGUCAAAUUUAGAAUGUUUAUAUAAGUUUGUGUAUAGCAAAGCAUAUGUAUUUGUAAGCAUGCGUAUCUGUGUAUGUGUAAGUGAAAGUAUGCUUGUGCUUAAGCACGCAUACACGCGACGGUAUGUAUAUGUAUCAAUUCAAACUUGUGUAUGUAUACUGGCCUCUAUAGAUGCCAAUAAUAUCGCUACAAGUUUUUUCCCCACCCCUCCUUCGUUUCUUUUUUCUCUCUUUCCCUUUCUUUCGUUCCCCCUCCUUGCUCAGUAUAUGAGAAUUGCUACAUAGAUGAAUUUUAGCUUGCGUGCGAGACGGUUUGCGUGAAUAUAUGUACACAUGCUUUUAUGUGUAUAAUUUAGAUUCAUAUUCAUACGUCUGUAUAUGUAUGUAUGGCGUUUACGCGCAUCCUUUUGUGUAUGUUGAUAUAUAUAUGUGGAUUUUAAUAUAAAUAUGUAUUGCAGUAUUUAUAACAGGUUUAAUUUCUAUGCAUUAAUUUGUACUGUCUUCAUUAACGGCAAUAGGUUUUUUCCUCGGAUUUUAUAAUUUUUAUAAGUUUUUUUAUAUAUAUAUACAUAUAUUUUUGACCUUUUUGUUUAUCGCUCGAAGAUUGACCGUUUUUUCUAAAGGGCCAAUCAAACAAGUCCAUUUCUUUUUUAAAGGUGUAGCGUUUGUAAGAGUAUAGAUUGAAUUAAUAUAUAUGUUCCAUUCUAGCAAAAACUGUCUGAUGAACGGCAACGAGAAACUCAGAGUAACAGAUUUUGUUGAAUUUUCUGCUGCUUAAAAUAAAGUAUAUAUAUAUAUAUAUAUAUAUAUACAUAUAUGCAGAGAGAGAGAGAGAGAGAGGGGGGCACGUGGCUUAAUGGUUAGGAUACCUGAUUCGUGAUCGUUAGAUUGUGGUUUCGAUUCCUGGACCGGACAAUGAGUUGUGUUCUUGAGCAAAACACUUCAUGUUGCUCCAGUUCACUCAGCUGGUAAAAAUGAGUAAUCCUGCGACGGAUCGGCGUCCCAUCCAGAUGGGGUAAUUUAUACGCCACUGAAACCGGGAAACCUUCCCUUAUGAGUUUGGCAUGGCUCGAGGAGGAAACAUUUAUUUUUAUUGAUAUAUAUAUAAGAAUUUUUGGUAUAAUGAGAUAUAAAACCAAGGCUGUAUAGAUAUUAUAACAUUUAUAGAAAGACCUUCUAUCUAUAAAUGUUCUAAUAUCUAUACAGCUUUGGUGUUUUAUCGCAUUAUGCAAAAAAAUUCUUAUAUACACAAGCUGACAUUUGACCAACUUCGCAAAAUCACCGGACCUGGAAUUUAACUAUGGUCUAUCAAUAGUACUUAUUCAGCAUUACCUGACACCUUUGGGUCUCAAUGACACCAUUACCUUAUAUAUAUAUAUAUAUAUAUAUAUAUAUAUAUAUACACACACAAAGAAACCAUGUAAAUAUCUAGAUAUGUGUAUGUAGCUACUUAUAUGAAUAUAUGUAUAGAAGUUUAUAUAUAUAUAUAUAUAUAUAUAUAUAUAUCGUAAGUGUGAGAAUAAAGAACUUCGUCAUAUAUUCUAGAUUCACUUGCAUGAAUGUCAAAUAAUCUCACCGGCGAAAUUGGAAAUGUAUUCGCUAUUUUAAAACGAAGGGGAAGUAAAUAUAUUUUACUGUUAGGUAAAUCACCUGGAAAUACAGUGACCCAAACAUGUAUAAAAACAUGGCCCUGUUGAUGAUGAUGUAUGUGUAACAUAUGUAUAUAUGUAUAAAUACGCAACAUACUUGUGAGUUUGAAAGUCGAUAGUGGUGUGUGAGUUGUUCGCUGAUCAAACUGAGAAAGGGUUUGCUUCCGUUAACAUGGUUACUAUUUGACGGUACGAUGCGCAGCAGUAGAGUUGCGCUAUUAACAUGUACGGGUUACACAAUGAGAUGCACACUUAGGCAUACAUACAAACACACAAAUCUUUAUGAAUGUGUCACCACACACACUUACACACACACAAACUCACAUACAAAUAGAUAGUGUGGAUGAUACCGAGUAUAUUGGCAUAUGAAGCUGCAUGACUCAGUGGUUAGAGCAUUGGGCUCACAAUCAUGAGGUAGUGAGUUCAAUUCCCCGACCAGGCUAUACAUUAUGUUCUUGAGCAAGACACUUUAUUUCACGCUACUCCAGUUCACUCAGCUGUAGGAAUGAGUUGCGACGUCACUGGUGCCAAGCUGUAUCGGCCUUUGCCUUUCUCUUGGAUAACAGCAAUGGCGUGGAGAGGGUAGGCUGGUAUACAUCGACGACUGCUGAUCUUCCGUAAACAGCCUUGCAUGGACUUGUGUGUCGGAGGGUAACUUUCUAGGUACAAUUCAAUCGUUAUUCGUGACGGAAGAGGGGCGUUAAAUAUUACACUUAUAUUUGCAUGUAUAUUCAUGCGUAUGUGUGUAUGUGUGUUUGUGUGUGUGUAGUGCACACAUAUGGACAUAAAUAGGCACACACACAAUACGCACACAUGCACACACACACACACACACACACACACACACACACACACACACACACACACACAUAUAUAUAUAUAUAUAUUAUUUUAGAUUUCAUAACUGCUAUGCCCGAGUCUCUUGUCCUUUGUUAUAAGUUAUAUAUAUAUAUAUAUAUAUAUAUAUAUAUAUAACUUAUCUUUUGCUUGAUCCAGUAAGUAGACUGCGUUCAUGCUGGGGCACCGCCUUGAAAAAUAUUAGUCGAAUUAAUCGAUCAUACGACUUCUUUUAAGCCUGAUACUUAUUCUAUAGACCCGUUUUGGCGAACCGCUAAGUUACGGGAUGUAAAUGUACCAACAACGGUUGUUCAGCGGUGAUGAGGGGAGAAGUCAAAUGCAGACAUAAAGACAAACACACGUACACAUGUACAUAUAAGUAUGACGGGUUUCCCUCAGUUUCUGUCUACCAAAUCCACUCACAAAGUUUGGUUGACCCGAGACUAUAAGCAGAAUAUACUCACACAAGGUGCCACGCAGUGGGACUGAACCCGUUACCAUAUGGCUUGGAAGCAAGAUUCUUUGCCCAAAGUCUAUGGCCAUUGAAAUGUAUUUAUGUAUUUAUGUGUGUAUAGACACAUGUUUAUAUACUUAUACACAUAUAUAUGUAUAUCUAUAUAUAUGUGCGUUUGUGUAUGUAUGUAUAUUAAUUGCCGGCAAGGACACACAAUUCAAUAUUUCACUUUGCAAUCAUAAUAUACUACCGGGUAUAUUUUUUUUAUUUAUGCCCCCUUUUCACGCCUAGCCAGAUUCAUGGACCCGGUUUCCCGGUUUCUGUGGAGUAUGUGUUCUCUCCACCCACCCCACCCAGCUGGACGCGAUGCCAAUCCAUCGCAGCGUUACUCAAGAAAGUUGGGGCGAAAGAGUACUACAGGGAUCGCCACCACCACCUGCCGGAGUCUCGUAGAGCUUUAGGUGUUUUCGCUCAAUAAGCACACACAACACCCGGUCUGGGAAUCGAAACUGCGAUCCUCCGACCACGAGUCCGCUGCCCUAACCCCUGGGCCAUUGCACCUCCAUACCGGGUAUAUUACACAGUUACAAGGCAAUAUUGUUUCUUAUCGUAUAUAAACAGCACGUAUAUAUUCAUGCAUGAAUGCAUGUAUGUAAGUAUGAAUGUAUGUACGUAUGUAUGUCAUUAUUCCGUUUUAUUUCAAGAUUUCUUGCCAAUAGAGAAAGAAUCGAUUUCUAACCUACAUCCAAGGCUCCUGAAAUAUCUUCAGGGUAUUUUUGUAUGUAGAUGUACAGUGUUUAGAUUCACUACUUUUGCAGCUUUUUAGGUUUUGUGUUAUGUGUAUAUAUUCUCAUGCAUAUAGUUGCAUGUCCAGACAUGCGCAUACACACUUAAAGCAUAAACUUCAGCAAAGUUUUACAGAUGUAUGUAUGUAUGUUUGUAUGUACGUAUGUAUGUACGUAUGUUUAUAUGCAUGUAUGUUUGUAUGUUUGUAUGUAUGUAUGUAUGUGUGUAUGUAUGUAUGUAUGUGUGUAUGUAUGUAUGUAUGUAUGUAUGUAUGAUAUAACGAAUUUAGUCGACUACUUGUGUAAUUGGCCAGAACGUAUUUGCCUGAAAACUACAUUUCUGUGGUGCUUUUUUUUUUCACUUUUUUUCAUUCUUUUUUUUUGUGUUUUGGUUUGUGACUACUUAUCUCUGAGCUACUAUACUUAAUAUGAUUGGGAACAGGAGCAUUGUGUAAUUGCCAAGUGUCUCCUUAUCUUGCUGGGCGGAAUAAUAUAUGCCUGACAUGCAUAACCUAAGAUGCACUAACAGUAAAUCUAUUGACCUGUUAAAUUAACUAUUCACAAAUGGUUAGUCUUGAAAUUUCAGGUCAAUCCUCUGCCUCUCUCUCUGAUCCUUGGAGGUACCAUAUUAAUCUUACUACUACAACUACUACUACUACUAUUACCACCACCACCACCACUAAUAGUAAUAAUAAUACCACCGUCACGACCACUAUUACUACUGCCACAACCACUACUACUACUUGUACAACCACCACUACUGCUAGUACUAAUAUUGCCACUACCGCUACUACUAAUAUUACCACUACCAACAACGCUACUUGUAUUAUUACUACCACCACCAGCAUAACUUCCACCACUUCAAUCCCCACCACUACUACAAUUAUUACUAUUAUUGCCACCAACACACCUAUCACCACAGGUACUACUACUACCACUUCCACAACCACUACUAUUAUUACUAUCACCACCAUUACUAUUACUACUACCACCACCACUAUCACCCAUACACUUCUAUAUACACUUCCUUGUUGAUGGGACUUGUGCGUCAUUGUAUGAGGAAGCGUCUAUCAUUAUAUGAGCAUCACUUAUGCAUCAUUUAUGCAACAUCACUUUUUUUAAAUCUUUGAUGUGGAAUUUGGUUUUCGUUCUUUUCUGAAAUUAUCAAAGUGGUUCGAAUGUUUUGUUUUGUGGAAUAUGGUUUGUGUGCAUUUUUUAAAUUCUUAUUAUUUGCCUGUAUUUGUAUGUCCUUACAUAAUUCGUUUUCUGUAUAUAGUAUCUGUUUGUGUAGUUUACAUUCUAUAUUAGUUUUAUUAUAUAAACGUGAUAGGAGAGUUAACCUCAACACCAAUUCGAAGAGUAGAGUCUCUCGUCUGGUCCGGUGCACUCUUUAACUCCCUUCGAGGGAUCUUUAGCUCUCUAAAACAUUUUAUCUAGGAGAAGGGCACCCUAAUGUAAAACCUACAGCUUGCUGGUCACUGCUGGCGUCUUAGUUCACUGAACUACUGUGAUCAGUCCUCCAAGUCUAAAGAAUGGAAUCGGAUUGUUCGGACUGACUCUCACUAUAAACUAUUAAGUGUAGGCUGGGAGAAAUAGCCCUUCAGCGACAAAUAUAGGUUUACAAAGCAGCUUGAUGAGGGCAUCUGCAUUUUCUUGUGAUCUUCGGACAGGAAAAAAACCUGCCAUCAAUAUAAUCGAGUGAUUAAGAUUGCGAGCUGGCAGAAUCGUUAGCACGCCGAGCAAAAUGCUAAACAGCAUAUAUAUAUAGCAUUGGCGACUCGGGCACUUUGACUGUUCGCUCUUAGCCCGAGUAUAAAUUUUAAAAAGUGCACGUGUAUUGCAAGCUGAUUUAAUUUCUGCUAACACUGACUUCAGGUAAGUAAUUACAGCCAAUGACCCAGGUUUCCUUUUAUUGAGACUGGUUGCAGUUCAUUUAUUUUCGUUCAGCGUCUAGCGGUCGUCUUAGAAGUACCCUGUAUCAAAAAAUAUCAUUCGUAGCAGACGUACUCUCGACAUCGCUCACACAUUCUUGAGUCAGGCGCAAAAGUUACAGCCCGAGUUAUUAUUUAUAAUCGUAAAAAUUAAAAGUAAUUCAAAUUCACUGUUUUCUUCAAACAAUAAAUUUCUAUAGAGAUUAGGAGUUAAAUUCCAAUAUAUACAAAGUUUCCGUUCUACAAUUAACGGAACGAAAAAUUAUCUAGCAGUUUGCGUUUGUAGGAACGAGCCUCGUAGGUGUAAAAACUAACUAGCAUCUCUUAUCAAGAGUACAGCCCACUGUCAGAUUACUGAUGUUUGUUGUGCACUCUACUGUCGUUAGUUGAUUGGUGUUAUUCUGUGCGUCUGUGUGUAAAGAUCAGUUGUGUUUUGCAGGGUUGUUUUAUUUUUACACUUAGCUUACAAAUGGAGAAAGAGAUAAUGCUAGAUAUAAAAAAUAAGCUGUGUGAGUGAGAAAUAAAGCGGAAACAGACAUUUAUCUUAUACAAAAUCUGUGAUGAGCCCGAUUGACAUUGACGACCUGGAGUCGCUUCUGGUAUGUAUAUAUAUAUAUAUAUAUAUAUAUAUAUGUGUGUGUGUGUGUGUGUGUGUGUGUGUGUGUGUGUGUGUGUGUGCGUGUGCGUGUGUGUGCGUGUGUAUAUAUAUAUAUAUACUCUUUUACUCUUUUACUUGUUUCAGUCAUUUGACUGCGGCCAUGCUGGAGCACCGCCUUUAGUCGAGCAAAUCGACCCCGGGACUUAUUCUUUGUAAGACCAGUACUUAUUCAAUCGGUCUCUUUUGCCGAACCGCUAAGUGACGGGGACGUAAACACACCAGCAUCGGUUGUCAAGCAAUGCUAGGGGGACAAACACACACACAUACAUAUAUAUAUAUAUAUAUAUAUAUAUAUAUAUAUAUAUAUAUAUAUAUAUAUAUAUAUAUAUACAUAUAUACGACAGGCUUCUUUCAGUUUCCGUCUACCAAAUCCACUCACAAGGCAUUGGUCGGCUGGGGGCUAUAGCAGAAGACACUUGCCAAAGAUGCCACGCAGUGGGACUGAACCCGGAACCAUGUGGCUGGUGAGCAAGCUACUUACCACACAGCCACUCCUAUAUAUAUAUAUAUAUCGAAUAUUCAAUUUUAUAAAUAUAAUUAUAAAAUUAUAAUGAUAUGGGCAACUACUGACUAAUGACUCAUGCUAGAAGAAGAAGCCAAAUGUUAUCACAUAGACACAGGCUAGAGCGAGGGAAUAAGCAGACAAGAUUUUUUAAAGUUUACCCAUAGAUCGUUUUCUCGUUUCGGGCUGUUAUACCACUUCACCGUCCUCAUUAUGACAUAACCGGAAGUACAUAAUUAGAAACAUUUAUACGUACCAUACGAACAUACGUAUGGUAUGUAUAGAUGUUUAUAAUUAUUUACAUUGGGUUAUGUCAUACUGAAGACAGCAAAGUGGUAUUACAUCUCUAAACUAGAAACCGAUCUACGGCUAAACGUUUUAAAAAUCUUUUUUGUUCAUUCCCUAAAUUUCAGUCCGUGUCUAUGGGAUAAAUAAGGUAAUUUUAGAGCCAUUUGGUUUCUUCUUCUAUCUUGUUGCAUUACUCAGUAAUGCCAAAUUAUAAUUUUAUAAUUACAUUUAUAAACUUAAAAACCACUGUAUGAAUUUAUAACUAAAUGUUUUUUACAUGCUAGCUACUUGAUAAAAUUCUAUAUACAUUUUAUCUUUAUUAUAACGAUAUAUAUAUAUAUAUAGGGAGAUGUACUCGCAUAGCAAGUAAUUUGAUCUGAGAUCGUGUGCUGAAACGAAAACAAUUGCAGCGUGGAAGGUGUUUAUAAGCCAUUUAAGAAACACACAAAAGCCGAUCGAUUCACUCCAACAUUUAAGUUUAAUUUGUCAAAAUAUUUUCGUCGCUAAAAUCCGCGACCUGUUCACUGACAAAGUCCGUGCUGCAUAUAUAUAUAUAUAUAUAUAUAUAUAUAUAUAUAUAUAUAUAUAUAUAUAUACAGGGGUUGGGUAAAGUAAUGGAAACACCUAGCAUGACAGCAGCAUCAUUUUGAAAUAUCUAUAAAACCAUCAAAAGCUUGUUUAUUUUUAAGUAUUUGAUUUAUUAUUAGUGUUGUUCCUAUGUUUUGUUAAAGUUGCUGUUUCUUUUCAGAUAUCAUCAGAAAAGGGAAAGUAAAUUUCAUUAAAAGGACACACCUAUUGGACUUUCAAAGAGAUCAAAUCGUUGGUGCUCGUAUGGCAGGCGCUACCGUAACGAAAACAGAUGAAAUGUCUGCUCUUUCAAGAAGUACUGUCUCGAAAGUAAUUAUAGCCUUUGAGAAAGAGGGAAAAACCUCCUCGUCGAAACAAAUCUCCAGAAGAAAACCAAAACUUUCAGAGAGGGACCGUCGGACUCUUACGCGACUAGUCAGAAAGGAUCACAAAAGUACAGCUCCCAAAAUUACUGCAGAGCUUAAAGACCACCCCGAGAACCCAGUCUCAACAAAAAAUGUUUGCCGGGAGCUGCACUAAUCCAGAUUUCACGGGAGGGCUUCAAUAAGAAAGCCACUACUUUCAAAAACAAAAAUUGAAAAGCAUUUAAAAUGGAGUAAAAACCUACAGAAUUGGUCCCUAGAGCAGUGGGAGAAUGUUAUGUUUCCGGACGUUUCAUUCUUUACCUUAUUUCCGACUACAGUCCGAGUACACGUGUGGAGACAUCCGAAAGAAGCAUUUGACCCAGACUGUCUUCUUACAACUGUUAAAUAUGGAGGAAAUCUGUGAUGAUCUGGGUGGUGAGGCUAUAUCUUGGAAAUCCAAUAAUCAAGACUAUUUAAGCAUUUUGUCUGAUCAAAUUCAUCCUAUGGUUGCGCAACUGUUUCAGGAGUGAAACGCAAGAUAAUUAUGCACCAUUUCACACAGCUAAAGUUGUUACUAAAUGACACGAAGAAAGUUCAAGUGAAAAUCUUAUCUGGCCAACUCAUUACCCAGAUCUCAAUAUUAAUGAACAUUUAUGGUGCAAUUCAUAAAAACAUUUAAGGAGUCGAUAUCCUCCACCAACAUCACUACAUGACAGGAGACUCUUUCAGCAGAAGGAUGGACAAAAAUUCCUUUGUUAAAAUAAAUUUACAUCUUUAUAUUUAAGAGAUGAGUAAUUAUAUACAUUAUUUACAUUUGAC
rnacentral:lncRNA from 1 species